CCCCAUGAUAGGCCCUGGUGUGUGAUGUCCCCCUUCCCGAGUCCAAGUGAUCUCGUUGUUCAGUUCCCACCUAUGAGUGAGAACAUGCGGUGUUUGGUUUUCUGUUCUUGUGAUAGUUUGCUAAGAAUGAUGGUUUAUUGCGGCACUAUUCACAAUAGCAAAGACUUGGAAUCAGCCCAAAUGUCCAUCAGUGACAGACUGGAUUAAGAAAAUGUGGCACAUAUACACCAUGGAAUACUAUGCAGCCAUAAAAAAGGAUGAGUUUGUGUCCUUUGUAGGGACAUGGAUGCAGCUGGAAAGUACAUUCUGUUUCUAGGGCAGCAUGACAACAGAGCCCCAACUGUCAGGCCAUUCUCCCUAUCUCAGCAUGUUACGUACCCAGCUGUUCUAGUGAUUAUUGAGAACUACAGGCAAGAAGGGCGCUGGGAGAAGGUCAGUUGGAUGCCUUCUGGAGAACUGUCCUUCCAAGGUGGAGAUCUGUCUUGAUACUGCAGAAAAAGUUAGCCUUUCCAUUAACUUUGGAGACACACAAAAUUUCCCACAUCUAUUUGGCUACAGUGGACCAGAGGAUUGCUUUCAUCUGUUUUCCCCUUGAGAGGUCAACAAGAAUUUCCCACACCACUGCUUUGGCAUGGCUAACAGCAGCAACUCAUAUUAUUGAUCCAUUUCUUCCCCAUCUCAUGUUAUGGAUGAGAAAUGUUCAUAAUCAUUAACCCCCAAAACUUGCAGAGUAUGCUGUUUUAUUCUGAAUGCUUUACAUUGUCACAAUUUUCCCAUUUCUUUAAUGUAGGCAGAUAAAAUCUACAUCCUAUCGCUCUCAACAGAAGCCUGAGGUGGUUGAUUAAAAC
rnacentral:lncRNA from 1 species